AAAGGAAUAAGCUAUAAAAGCUAUAGAGCUCAUACCUCUUUGAAAGUAAAUCUUUCCUUUA
rnacentral:tRNA from 1 species